AAAUUCAGCGUGGAGCCGGUUUUGGUGAUCAGUAGGAAAAUGGACUGCUCGCAGGAUUUAUGUGUGUCGUCAUAAGUCAUGAUCGUGAUAAGUAAUGAUCCAUGAAUCAUUUCCGGAAGACCAUAAUGUGAUAGGCAAAGUAGCAUCGACCGUUCUGUGCUACAUGCAAUGCUUGUCAUUUUGCUGCAUUCCCAUAUAUAUAUAUAUAUAUAUAUAUAUAUAUAUAUAUAUAUAUAUAUACGUACGUACGUAUACUAAAAUAAGAUUACUAUAAGCGUUGCUCGGCAGCAGCAGAAAUCGUGUGUAUAGCGACAUAGAGCCGUCUAUUGGGGAAUUGUAUGGAAUCGCAGUCGCAAAGUACCUAACCGCCGUUAUAGGCGAGGAACUAUUGUAUAAUAGUCAAUCUCACAUACGCACGCAUGCACGCACGCAAUCACGGGUCUACAUAUUAGUCUAUGAACGUCUUUGUAUUUAUAUUUGUGUGCGUUCAUGGUUCGCUGCCUUGUUCCACAAGAGAAGAGAAAGCAAAUUACACUGCCAUACUGAAUUAAACGUUAUUAAAUAGAAAGCACUCAGGGAUUAAAGAUCUGUUACAUACUGCGGUUUUUUAUUGGGUAUAUACCAUAAUGGCUUGUGUUGUGUCUUGUGUGUCGUGAGUAUGCAUAUCUAAGUGCGCUAGUACACGCGUGCCUGCUCGCUCGCGUAUAUGCACGCGUGCGUGCUCGCUCACGUAGAUGCACGCGUGCCUGCUCGCUCGCGUAGAUGCACGCGUGCGUGCUCGCUCGCGUAUGUGCACGCGUGCCUGCUCGCUCGCGUAUGUGCACGCGUGCGUGCGGGAAGCUAACUGUUAAGUGUGAUACCGAGUAGGAGAGCUCGUGAAGAACUAACAGAGUCGUGGUGUGGUAAACGCUGAUCAUGGGUUAGACACAUGAGGAAGCUUCCAGCACGCUGUGUGAUUCGUCGUAGUGAGUACUAGUAGCAGACAACUAUAGGGAUAGCACGCCAUGCUGCGCGCAAUCAUGACCUGUGGCGCUCUCUGUCUCGUUUUGUGUGUAUGUGUGCGUGUGUUUGCACACACGUGUGUGCGCGCCCGCGAUUUCUAUUGAGUAAAUACAACGUAAUAUAUAUCUAUA
rnacentral:lncRNA from 1 species